rnacentral:lncRNA from 1 species
CUCAACUAAUCACAAUGAGACACAAUUAUAUGAAGUCAUAGUUUGGGUAGUAUACUACAUCGGUAGACUAACACUUCUUGGUCUUAUCAAACAAGGGGAUCUAUUAUGACAACUCACGAGUUGCAAGGCUCAAACUCAACACAACAUCAAAGCAAGGUGUUGUAGAAAUUGUUCAAGAGAAUCAAAAGAAUGACCAGAGGGUAUGAAAUGAUUAACUACUAGGUCGAACAAAAUGACCUCGAGUAUGAACCCAUCUGGCUUUUCAACCGAAAGUUGAAACACAUGGGUUUUCAACCCAAAAGACGUCUACUGAGAUUUGGAUCAUGUGGACUGGCCAGGUCCAACAUCAUCACCUCCCAGUCACACGAGAAACAUCGUCCCGAACUUGAAGGGCCAUGAACAUACUAUACAUAACAAAACAUAAGUUCAUUAUGACAAUUAAACUUAUCUUAAGGUUCCCUAUCCUAUUGAUCUCAAACCCCAAACCUCUCUUAAGACAUAUACACACAGACAUACGUACACAGGCAAAACACUCUAUUCAUAAAAUCUAUCCUGUAGCAAAAGUCGAUUUGAUAUUCCGUCGUACUUGAACAUUUGAACGUAGAGACUAUGGUUCAACCUUUGAUGCAACGUUUACCUUGAAUUCGUCGCGUAUCGUCAUUCUGUGUUUUUCCUUUACCUCGUACAUAUCUUUCCAUUCCUCUUUGUAGUUCAAAAGAAUCAUUGUUUUCUUGAGGGAGCUGAAAUGCUCUAAGUUCUCUUUCAUUCUUCUACAUCAUCACCUUAAGAAUCUAGAUUGUAGAGAUAUCCUACUAAUCUAGUAGUCUAUGUUCUUUUAAAAUUGUGAUCAUGCAACUUAUAGCAAUCUAU